GGGUGUAUAGCUCAGUUGGUAGAGCAUUGUGCUUUUAACCUAAUAGUCGGAGUUUCAACUCCUUCUUUAUCUA
rfam:Nicotiana sylvestris Nsyl_contig1908, whole genome shotgun sequence.